rnacentral:lncRNA from 1 species
GUUUAAGUCACUGGGAUUUAAGCAUGUGCUUAUUUUCUGAAGUUGGAUUUUGCUAAAUUUCAUUCUUUCCAGCUCAGCUGCAGGACUGCUGUCUAUUCUUCAGAGAAAAGAUGCAGCCAGAAAGUCAGCAUUUCCACUGAGAAGAAGAUAUAUAAAUAUAAUUUUCCUGUGGAAAACAACAAUUUUAUGGGAACUGCAUUUGCUGUUGGGAAGGCAUUGUAGUGAGUUAUCCUUGAUCAGCUUUAAACACUGUAACUUUAUGGGCAGAUGCAAUAGGUCACGCUCCUGA